rnacentral:lncRNA from 1 species
AUUGCGGGAGAUUUGAGCCACUUUAUGUUCUUUCUUGUGUUAUAUGUCUGUUGACUGCUUGCACAUAUGCCAUGGCUUGACUCUUGUUGAUGAUUCUUGAUUGAUAUGCAUGUUUGGAAGUGAUAAAGGAAGUUUUGUUGUUGAGCCUCUCUAGCCAAAUGAGCCUACCUUGUUGUGAUCCUUUGAUAGCCCAUUUUGAGCCUACACUUUCCCCAUCUCUUUGUUUUGAAGCUCAUACUCUAGCCCAAAGUGAAAAACCAUGAUUACCUUAACCUUCGGGAAUUUUGGAGCUUUGGAAUUAUUUUGGGAAUAAGUGUGGUCUCUUGGGAAAUUCUGAUGAAUUGGCUUGUUGGUUCCUCUUCUUGUUUUUGUUUUGUAAAUAUGUUAUCUAUCUUGUCUCAAACAGUUGUGUUCUUCAUAGAGAGAAAAGGAAAGAGACGAGAUGAGAAAGAAAAAAAAUUUGAGAAAAAUGAGAAAAAUAGAAAAAGUUGGUGUGAAUAAUGGAGUCAAGAAGAGGAUUGAAUUAGAGGUUUUGGGUGUGUUUGAAUGUGUUACACUUAUUCCCCAUUACUCCUAUAUUCCUUUUGGUUUUAGCUUCUCAUCCAUAUUUAUCCUCCCUUGUCCUUGGCCCCAUUGCAUCCAUAAAAGACCUUUUGAUUUGAACAUGCAUAUGUUUUGAGUGUUGAUAUUAGAGGCCUGCCAAGUCUGUUUGUGUUUGUUUUCUUUAGUGCAUUGAGUUGAAGUUGUUUACCAUAGACACUUGAGAGAAACACUGAUAGUGCGCAUCUGUGAGGUUCUGUGCUUGUGAUUCACCUCUUGAACUGAUUGAAUGUUUUUCCAUGUUCUGAAAUGCUUGGAUGAUUCUGUGAGUAUCUGCUUUCAUUGACUCUGUGUGGGAUUCUGCCUAUGCCUUUCACUGUCCAGAUUUUGUGAGAAUUGUGCAACUUUGUUUCUGUUUUGUAAGUCUUUGUUGUCUGUCUGUCGAGUCUGUGUCACCUCCCUGAUGUCUGAGUAGUUCCUUGGUUUUCGUCUUGGUUUUGCCCAGGAGUGCAAAAGACUAAGUGUGGUCUAUUUUGAUGAGACGUUAUUUCUUGAAACAUAUUUAGUUUAUUGCACUU